UAAGGCUGAAGCUAUAGCUACAGUUUGCCAUUUACUGUGUGUGUCAAUCCAGAGUCAUCAUGUUAUUUUUUACUAUAUUGCUGCUUGCAUUAUUUAAAGGUAAAAGUUUUGCAGAUGUUAUCACCACAAAAAGAGAUCAUGUGUUCACCACAGUUGGUGACAAAGUUACUCUUUCUUGUAACUUCAGCAGCAGUAGUUAUGUGCCAAGACUUCAUUGGUAUCGUCAGUAUUUGGGUUCAGUACCUCAGUUCCUCAUACUGGAGUACUCAGGGAGUGUAGUGACUGCUAAUCCUCCCAUCCAAGGGAUUUCCAUUAAACACAGGAAAGAAGCUCAGGAGGUGGAUCUGGAGAUCUCAUCUGUUAAAGUCACAGACUCUGCUCUGUAUUACUGCGCCCUGCAGCCCACAUGGUAUAUGCAAUAUCCCAACUCUGUGCCGGAGUUCCUCGUUCUUAUUAUGGAGUCAGGACAAAACCAGACCGCUACACCUCCUCAUCCUCGACUGAAAGCUUCAGUUUGGAAAGAUAACAAGACGGUGAAUCUGGAAAUCUUCCCUGCAGAUGUGAAGGACUCAACAGUGUAUUACUGCGCACUGCAGCCCACAGUGAAAGGAAAUGAAUGA